rnacentral:misc_RNA from 1 species
GGUGUUCGGUUCUAAGUAGUAAAUGUAAAUACGCGUCCCGACGACAUUACCGUUUUACUGCGUAGCAGCGGACGACAGCAGCUGCAUCAGCAGCUGACAGCCUUGAUAAAGACAACAAACUAUGAUGAUUAUGUGAUAACGACCUGAAGAAAAUAAAAAACAGUCGCAGUAGUAAUAAUAACAAUAAUAAUAAUAUAUUUAUUGCCUUUGUCGCUUAAAAAUUUCGCAAUGGAAUUGAAAAUAUAUUAUUUUCGUUCAAAAACAUGAAAUGUUUCUACACACAAAUCGCUGAGUCUCGUUUUGAUUUUUUUCCUGCCAUCAUCUCAGUGUUGCAACAGCCUGUAAUUGCUUUUUUUUUUACUUUAAGCUUUUGACGUUUUUCCUCGGACUGUGUGACCAUGUAUUAUAUUAUUGUCAUCACACCUGAGUAAUUUGACUUGCUUCGAAAUGACAAUAUCGACGUAUAACCUCUGGACCAUUGAACCACUAAACCGUGUUUGACCCGAUCGCAAAGAUUUCAAAAAUGUCAGCAGACUCUCCAUGUAAAGCGUCCAAAAAUCCGAUCGGCAAGAUAGUGCUGCCCGGCCCCAUUGUCGAUCGAUCUAUCAUCGACAGUGUUGCUGGGUUCAUUAAUGACGUCGUCCCUCAUGGAUAUUCUAACAUUUUAAAUGUAGACAGUAGAGAAAAAAUUCUGUGGACGCAAUUUGAAACACUAGAAGCUAAUGAAUUCCCUUCAAACUUUGAGAAUGAUGAAUCGCUCAUGUCUGGUGUAUCACCAAUACUUCUUAUUUUGGGUUAUGGAUUUGGUGUUCAAGUAUGGUUUAUUGGUGCCAACGGUGAAGCAUAUGAAGUUUUAUCUUGGUCGCAAGGAGUUGUCAAGAUUUUAAAAUUCAUACCUUCACCAUUGCCGGAAUUGAAAUUUCGACAAGACCCAUUUGCUCAUAAAAGGCCAUUAAUUGCACUGUGCGAUAACUCUGGCGCUGGACCACAGUUUUGUUCUGUCAGUUUUAUAUCAUUAACAUGUGGAGAUGUGGUAAAAACAAUUAAAUUUAAAAAUACUGUAGUUGAUAUUGCUGUAAAUAGGUUUGCUAUAGCAGUAGUAUUUGUAGAACGAAUUGCUGUGUUUGAUGCCCUCACUGUCGAAGACAUAACUACAAUUACUACGUGUUAUCCUAGUCCUGGAAUUAAAUUAAACCCAAUCGCAUUGGGAACAAGGUGGUUGGCGUAUUCAGAUCAAAAGUUGAUCUCUUGGAACCGAUCUACCGGUGGAUAUGAGGGCGAGAAUGGCCAUUCAUAUACAGCUACGGUUUUGCAUGCAGCAAAAUCAUUAAGUCAAAGUUUGAGAGAUUUAAGUGGCUCUGUAGCAAAUAGUAUUACAGGCGUGCACAAUUCAAAUUCAACUCAUAACAUAUCAGUUGCAAAUGACUCUAAUCAAAUGAAUCCAGGAAUAAUUACCAUAAUUGAUAUCAAAAAUAAAGUGUUAAAGGAGAAUACACCACAAGGCCCUGAUAUUAUUGCUCAUUUUCCAGCACACUGUGAGGCUAUUGUGGCCUUAAAUUUUGACCAGUCUGGUCUCAUGUUAGUGACUGCUGAUAAAAACGGUCAUAGAUUUAAUGUUUUCAAAAUACAUCCUAGUAUAUUAGGUUCUUCAUUUGCAGCUGUUCAUCAUUUGUAUACGUUACAUAGAGGUGACACUACAGCUAAAAUUCAAGAUAUUCAAUUCUCAAGUGAUUCAAGAUGGGUGGCUGUAAGUUCACUUAGGGGAACAACUCAUAUAUUCCCAAUUACACCUUACGGAGGACCUAUUGGUCUACGUACCCAUUCAACACCACACAUUGUAAAUAAACUAUCAAGGUUUCAUCGCAGUGCUGGCUUAGUGACUGAUGGUCGAAACAGUCCUGUAAUGACUGAAUCAUUACAGAGUUCUCAAAUUGUGUUGCCAUACUCUAAUCCUUGUGUGGCACCUGUACCACAUUCAAUUAUUGUACAUUCAUUGUGCCAAAUCCGAUCACAAAGUAAUAAAUUAAAACCUGACGAAACUGGGAUAACAACAUAUAUUAGACUGUCUACUUGUUUUUCUCAUGGUCGUAUAUUGGAUACAGCAAUGAUCAGGGAAAUGUCUAACAUAACUUAUAAUCCCAAGAAAAAUAUUGCAGAUUCUCUAUAUGUGAUGACUAGCAAUGGCAUUCUUACACAAUAUGAUAUGUAUCCUAUGCAUUCAAAUGCAAUAUCCAAAGAAAAAAUAUUUGAUGAUACAAUGAUAGAACUAAACAUUGAACCAAAAACCGAGUGGAAUCUGUACAAACCACCUCUUCAUGCAUCUACUGUUAACCCCCCAUUAAAUCGGGGUAAUCCGUUAUUAGACCUUUAUAUAAAUUGUCCAGUCACGAACCUGUCAAAUAUUUCUGAAAAGAAUUCUUUAGAAAGCAUUGAUGAACGUUGGCUAUCACAAGUGGAAAUAAGUACACAUGCAGGCCCACACCGCCGCCUUUGGAUGGGACCACAAUUUGUAUUUAAAACUUGUAGUUCUUCAUUAGGGAGGUCAGAAUCUGAUACUCAAUUGAGUGAAAUUGAAAAUGUAUCAUUGUUAUUAAAAUCAAAUCCUGUUAGUGUUCCACAAAAUAAUAUCAACAGACAGAGCACUCCUGUGUUCAUUGAAUGCGGUUCAAAUAGUAGUUUUGAUUAUUCACCAAAAUUUUUAGACUUAAAUCCGGGCGAUUCAUCUGAUGUAUCAUCUGAUCAAGGUGAAAUUAAAAUAUUGGAAGAUUUGGCAGAAGCCAUGAAUGAAAAUCUUCAAAUUAAUAAAACAGUUUUUGGUGACAUUUAACUGGAAUCUUUAAAAUUGAUUUAUUUAUACAUCUUUAUUUUGAACAUUAUAUUUGGAUUAAAAAGGACUCUUCACUCUUCAAAAUAAGACUUUCAAAGAAAGAAAAUCAUGGUAUAUGUAGUCAAUCCAGAAUUGAUUUCACUAAUUCAAAUAACAUUCAGAACCUGAGGUAAUCGAUGAGAGUGAACAAAUUCUAACUCAAAUAAUGUCUACAAAAAAAUGUAAAAAAGCUAAAAA